UCUUGGUCAUAGAACUAUUAAGCUCUACUAGGCAGCUUUGCGGCAGCAGUGCGUCAGACCUGACAUUGAAGAGGUCCACUGAAAAUAGUUGAUACUUUACUUGGAUAAGUAGAGUCGCGAGUCCAAAAUGUACACUUUAACAUUGAGCUGGUUUCUCAAUCUUGUGUUAGGUAGUUUUGCAGUUUCGGAAAUUGAGUUCGAUGCUCAUGAAAAUUUGCGUUAUUUAAUAGUCCUUUCGAAUGUUCUUUCUUUAGUUAAAACAUUUGGAGAAGGAUCCCUAUUUAAUUCAUCGCUGACUGGAUACUGGAAAGAGCUGCUCAAAAAGUUUUCGUGAAGUUCACGGAUGUAUCUAAAUUAUGAAGGUCAAUCACGAGUAUCAUUAGCAAAACGAUAAGGGAACAGAGAUAUGGCUUUAAUGGUGGAUGGACAAGACUAGUUAACCGAGUAACUGGAAUAGCAAAGUGUCAGCUUUAAAUAGAACAAAUUAAUGUUUAUCGAUUAAUGCAUUGAAGCAAUAUUUUUUUUCUAAUCUUACAGAACUGAUCAAAGCCGAUAGGGAUAUAAAUAAGUAAUCGACUCUCGAUGUUUUAACCAUUAAAAGGAUAUUUUUUAAAAAUUAUUAAAAAUAUUUAAUACUUUACUUGGAUAAAUAAAGAGAAAACGAUUCUCAGUCCCCCAUGCAAUUGGGUUCUGACCCGGAGUCUUGGUCAUAGAACUAUUAAGCUCUACUAGGCAGCUUUGCGGCAGCAGUGCGUCAGACCUGACAUUGAAGAGGUCCACUGAAAAUAGUUGAUACUUUAUUUGGAUAAGUGGAGUCGCGAGUCCAAAAUGUGCACUUUAAUAUUGAGCUGGUUUCUCAAUCUUGUGUUAAGUAGUUUUGCAGUUUCGGAAAUUGAGUUCGAUGCUCAUGAAAAUUUGCGUUAUUUAAUAGUCCUUUCGAAUGUUCUUUCUUUAGUUAAAACAUUUGGAGAAGGAUCCCUGUUUAAUUCAUCGCUGACUGGAUAUUGGAAAGAGCUGCUCAAAAAGUUUUCGUGAAAUUCACGGACGUA